GCCCAAAAUCAAGCCUAACUUAACCUCAUGUAUUUCCCCCUUCCCCAAAAUUUAAUAAAACAUUUUAUUAGUUCAGUAAAGGCGAUUAAAAAACUUAUUAGCGCUUUAUUAUAAGUACCGCAAGGGAAAGAUGAAAUAGCUUUGAAAUAGAUUUUAAGCAAAGUAUAGCAGAGAUCACCUCUCGUACCUUUUGCAUCAUGGUCUAGCUAGUCUCCCUCAAGCAAAGCGAAACACCAGUUUGACCCCCCGAAACUAAGCGAGCUACUUUGAAACAACUCAAUGGAGCCAACCCAUCUCUGUUGCAAAAGAGUGGGAUGAUUUUUAAGUAGAGGUGAAAAGCCUAACGAGCUUAGAGAUAGCUGGUUAUUCAGGAAAAGAAUUUUAGUUCAACCUUAAGUUUUUCUGUUACUCCCAUAAAACUGCCCCAAACUUAAGAGCUAUUCAAAUAAGGCACAGCUUAUUUGAAAAAGGAUACAACCUAUGAAAAAGGGUAAAAAAUAUUAUAUAAACUAAGUAGGCCUGAAAGCAGCCAUCUUUAAGAAAGCGUUAAAGCUCAUUUUUUCCUUUUAUUAAUAAUUUCCCCAAAUACAUUAAACCCUUUAUCACUACUGAAUGAUUCUAUAACUUAUAGAAGUCCUGAUACUAGAACUAGUAACAAGAAAUAGUAUUUCUCCAAAAUAUAAACAUAAGCCUAAACGGACAAACCACUGGCAGUUAACGCAUAUAAAACCACUAUAGUAACCCCACAAGAAAAUUCUACAAAUGCAAACGUUAACCUUACACAAGUAUAUUUCAGGAAAGAUUAAAAGAAAGGGAAGGAACUCGGCAAAUCUCAACCCCGCCUGUUUACCAAAAACAUCGCCUCUUGACAAAUCAUAAGAGGUCCAGCCUGCCCAGUGAUAUAAUUAAACGGCCGCGGUACCCUGACCGUGCGAAGGUAGCAUAAUCACUUGUUCUUUAAAUAAGGACUAGUAUCAACGGCAUCACGAGGGUUCUACUGUCUCCCCUCUCUAAUCAGUGAAACUGACUUCCCCGUGAAGAGGCGGGGAUACAACUACAAGACGAGAAGACCCCAUGGAGCUUUAAACCCACUAACAACCUCUAACAAACACACCCACGCAAAUGAAGAGUACUGUAUAGUGGUUUUAGGUUGGGGUGACCACGGAGUAAAACUAAACCUCCAUGACGAACGGAAAUUCAUCCUAAUCCACGAGCUACCGCUCUAAGAAUCAAAAACUUGACAUAAUAUGAUCCGGUAACCGAUCAACGAACCAAGUUACCCUGGGGAUAACAGCGCAAUCCAUUUCAAGAGCCCCUAUCGACAAAUGGGUUUACGACCUCGAUGUUGGAUCAGGGUAUCCUAGUGGUGCAGCCGCUACUAAAGGUUUGUUUGUUCAACAAUU
rnacentral:rRNA from 1 species